CCCGUGAGCUUCGUGCCCACAGAUCUGGUGAAGUGGAGCGUUAGGGAGACCACGGAGGGACGUAAUGUUUCAGGGAAGAAGGAAAGCAAGUAGACGGAGAGAAUCCGGAACCUGAAGAGUAUCGGUACUGAAAUGUGGGUUCGGCCAGCAGUACCCUGUGGGUCCGAAACUUUGGUCCGGCCGAGCAUAAGAAUGGCUGUACCUGGAAGGACGGGGGACUGAGCCAGCCGGAGUGCAGAGAAGAGUUCCAGGGAGCGAGUCAAAGCCUGCUGUGUCCUACGCAAAAACUAAAAGAAUACAGCAACACUAAACCUGCCCUAAAAGAAAUAAUUGAACAGUCUUCCUUAAAUAGAAAAGAGUGUAAAGAAAUGCAACAGAUUUCUUAUGAUCCAUGUAAAUAUUAAUGAACCCAUCAGAACCAUGAGUCAGAACAAUCCACUGCACCUCCAGCCUGUCUCCUGGAACCUUUCUCCUCUCCUGGGAGUGCUCCCAGGGAGGUCCAGAGUCCUCUCAGGCAAAGCAGAUGCUAGUCAACAAGCUGACUGUCUACAGGGCUUGCCAUGAAGUGGCUUGUUCAUGAUCUGUUUCUGGGAUCCUGGAAAAAUGUUUUUGGUGUCUUUCUGGAAAGGCUGAUUUUGGUAAGUCACCUGUCCCCCUGGGUGUCAGGAAGGUUGUGAUCCAAGAGAACACAUCACGUCUUUAAAUGAAGAAGCGAUUUGUUUGUUUCUUGACUUUCAUCCUUCAUGGUGCCCCUGGGGAGAGAAGUUUCAUUCUGCAUGCUAUAAAGGCCUUGGGUGGGUGUUUCAUUGUAAAAUGGGACAACAAUACUGACUUUUCAGAGUGAUUGGGAGAGUAAAUGAGGACAUUGAGGAAGGACUGUAGGACUGUAACACAGUGUGUAGCACAUAGCAGACACUUAGAAACUACAUGUUCACUCAGAUUACAUUCAAAAAGUUCCAUUAUUCUGUGUAAGUGCUUCUGUUGAAACCCUCAUCAAACCGUCUUGUAAUCACACAUCUUCUCAAAGGCAGAGAACACAUCUUAGUCACUACUGGUACCCACAGCUCCCAGCAUAGUGCAUGGCUAACCUUAAUUGAAGGAAGAAGGGAGGACAAGCAUCCAGUACCCAAGCUCGGCCCUCAUCUCACUCACACUUGCUUUUUAUUUAUGAAAAUAUCAUAUUGUCCGUGUAAAUAAGAUCUCUGAGAGCAUGCAGAGACGCUGGUAACAGUGGAGAACUCUGUUACUCAGAGUCAGAGGGAAGGAAACUUACUUUUCACCGUAUAUCCUUUUGUUCUGCUUUUAAAAUUUUACCAUGGGCAUGCAUACUUCUUACUUUUUUAAAAUAUUUAUUUAUUUUUUGGCUGCAUUGGUUCUUCAUUGCUGUGCGCAGGCUUUCUCUAGUUGUGGUGAGCAGGGGCUACUCUUCUUUGUGGUGUGCGGGCUUCGCAUUGUGGUGGCUUCUCUUGUUGUGGAGCAUGGGCUCUAGGUGCGCAGGCUUCAGUAGUUGUGGCAUGCAGGCUCAGUAGUUGUGGCACACGGGUUCAGUUGCUCCGUGGCAUGUGGGAUCUUCCCGGCCCAGGGCUUGAACCCGUGUCCCCUGCGUUGGCAGGUGGAUUCCCAACCACUGUGCCACCAGGGAAGUCCAGGGCAUGCGUACUUCUAAAAAAAUGUUUGUCAUAAAAUCCCCCCAAGUUAAACCAAAACCAAAAUAUGUUGGAUACAUCUGUAAAAAUCAUAUAAAGAUGAAAUGUAAAUGGUUAAUAAAAAUAGAAAAAAGUGAUCAAACUUACUAAGAAGUACACAUUAAAAUAAUGAGAUAUUUUUCCCCCUUAUAGAGUGCAGAGAGGUAAGGAGGGAUGAUAUCCCAUGUUGGUGAGGAUGUAUGAGACAGGAGGCAAUGUGGCAUUUGUUUUCAAAUGAAAAUGAAAUGUUUUCAAAUUGAAAUCAAUUAAAAAUAACCAACAUUCGGGACUUCCCUCGUGGUGCAGUGGAUAAGACUCUGCCCUCCCAAUGCAGGCCUGGGUUCGAUCCCUGGUCAGGGAACUAGAUCCCACAUGCAUGCCACAACUAAGAGUUCACAUGCUGCAACUAAGGAGCUGGCAAGCCACAACUAAGGAGCCGUGGAGCCACAACUAAGGAGCCUUUCUACCUCAACUAAGGAGUCCACGUGCUACAACUAAGGAGCUGGCAAGCCACAACUAAGGAGCCCUGGAGCUGCAACUAAGGAGCCCGCCUGCCUCAACUUAGACCCGGUGCAACCAAAUAAAUAAAUAUUUUUUUAAAAGAAUAUAUAUUAUAUAUAUAUAUUUAAAAAUCAACAUUCUAGGAAUUUUCGCUAAGGAAGUAAUCUGAAAUAUGUGCAGGUUUCUGUCCAAGGUUUUUAGUGGCAAUACUGCUUACAACCUGAAUGUCCGGGUGUUGGGAGGGAAACCUUAUCCCCAGCCCCUGCUCUCCCCACCUCCCCAACCGCAGUCUAUCUAUGAUAGAGCAGUGAGUAGGGCCCUGGGUGGCUGGGAUCACCUAGCGUUGGCAGAAGACAGCAGUACCCAACCUUAUUCCUCUAUGCACCAGAGAGAGAUGAAAAUUAAUAUGCUUAAUCUCGCCUUAAUUUCUGGAGAGAUCUUGGCCUUGGAAGUUUGUGGAACGGCAGAGAAAGUUAAUUCCUAUUUGUUACAGUGAGCAUGUACUACUUCCAUAAUUAGAGUAGUUCAGUCAGCCGGGGCUCUGGAACGGCAGAGCCUGCCCAUGGAGAUGGUAGCUUGCGGCUCUCCCUGACCCAGCCGAGCCUGAUUACCUCCCUAUCACAGAAACUGGGAAAGGGCUCUGCAGCUGAGGAGGCAGGAAUUGAGGGUUUGUUUCCCUUCAAGAGCUCCACAGAGAACCACUCUUCUUGGCAGCUUGGAGCGUGGCUCGAAUGCAGAAGUAGAGACUGAUGACGCCUCCCACUGGUAGUGCCUGUAGAUAUCUCUGUGCUUGACCCAUGGCCAGAGGGUAAAAACAGUCAUGAGUAGGCAAGAGAAAAAUAACAGUAAACUUGAAGAGACUUGGCAGCCAGAGGGAGAAGGAGCUGGCAGAACCCUCAGAAUAGGCAGCUCUUGAGGAAAUAGAACUUAUGAAAGAGACAGAUGGCAGCUCUACCCAAAUACGAUGACUGGAGGAGAUUGGAUUAUAGCAAAACUUUCUGGAACUGAAAAGCAUGUUUUGUUUUGUUUUGUUUUUAAAUUUACAUUCAGUAGGGACUUCCCUGGCAGUCCAGUGGUUAAGAAUCCAUGUUUCCACUGCAGGGGGCACAGGUUCGAACCCUGGUUGGGGAACUAAGAUCCCGAAUGCCGCAUGGUGUGGUGUGGCCUAAUUAAUUAAUUAACAUUCAGUAGGUGAAUUGAAGGAGAGGAUGGUCAUCAUAAAGCCAGUGGUCUUUUAGAUCAAGUGGAAGAAAUAUCUCAAAACACACCAAAAAUAGAGAAAAACCAGGAAGCAAAGAGUUGGAGGAGCAAUCAGUAUUGAGCUCAGUGCUGAUUAGACCUUUCCUGAACCAAUUCCUGUGGUCAGGAGAUGCCCCUUCCCACUUGCUGGGUUAUCUGAGCCAGUCGCUGAGCCAAGGGAGAAUGGGUUGAACUUAACGGGUUAGACCAAAGUAGGGACCAUUUUGGGGUGGAGUCAAUACCACCCACACAAUGGGAUAGAGUGGAAUUUUUUUAAAGAAGACAACUACCUGGAAUAUCCCUUGUAGUAACACAUGGUACCUGACUGAAACCAUUGUCCUGAGGAUAAAUGAGAUCCUGUGUAAGUUGCUUACACAGUGCCCAGCACAUAGUAAACCCUGGGGGAAUAGUUAUUAUUUUCUCAUUUUUUUAGAAAGUGCUUUUAAAGUUUUAAUGGAUGUAGAUGCCCUUCUCAGUUUUGACAAUUCAUCUUAUUAGUGCUCUAUGUAGAACCCUGGAAACAACAGAAUGGUAACUCUGCUGCACUUACAGAGUGCUUCAUGCAAAUUCUGAUUCAGUCUUGUGAGGCUUGAGGUUCUGCAUUUUAAACAAGCUCCCUGGUGAUGCUCAUGCUGCUGGACCACAAGACCACACUUUGAGUAACAAGGACCUGGGAAGGGUUUUGCCUUUCCUGUGUGAUUGAAGGGGCUUACCACUGCCCCCAUGUUCCAUGGAUGGGAACAUGACGGAAGGCAAGAGAAAGGAUGAUGAAAACAAGCAAUUUUCUUUUUGUAAAACCUCAUCCUUUUAAUUUAAAAUUUUCAAACCUUCUGAGUAUUUGAAAGAAUAAUGCAGUACACACCUAUGUACCUUUCACCUAGCUUCACCAAUUAUUAAUAUUUAAGCAAUUUCCUCUUAAGGGCAUGCUUAAGAACUUAAGUUGUCCACAUCACUUCCACUCUUGUCCAUCGGUAAAAACUUUGGCAUAUAGCCUCACAUUGCUGCAAGGGAGGGUAAGAAGUAUAAGCUCAGCUUGACAGCUAUUACCUGCUAUAGGGGGUGCUGUUCUAUUACUACAAGAGGAUAUGAGAAAGCAGUUGCUUUUUAAAAAGAAGGAAGAUGGGACUUCCCUGGUGGUCCAGUGGUAAAGGAUCUGUCUUCCAAUGCAAGGAACGCAGGUUCAAUCCCUGAUCGGGGAACUAAGAUCCCACAUGCUGCAGGGCAACUAAGCCUGUGCCACAACUACUGAGCUUGCAGGCCUCAACGAGAGAGCCCAUGUGCCGAAAACUACAGAGCCCACAUGCUCUGAAGCCCACACGCCACAACUAGAGAGAGGGAGAGAAGAAAAAAAAACCCGCAUGCCAUAACUCGAGAGAAGCCUGCCUGCCACAGUGAAGAGCCUGCGUGCCCGCAAUGAAAGAUCCCACAUGCUGCAACUGAGACGCGACACAACCAAAAAUAAAUAAGAAGGGAGAGGAGGAGGAGGAAGACAGUGGAUACUAGGGGACAAUUAGCCACCUCUAACACAGUGACUCGCUGGAUCUCCCAACCAGUUCUCUUCAAAGUGUAUUCUGGAAAGACUGAAGCUAAAUUUGCAGCCCAUCUCUACAAAGUAUGUAGGACUUCAAAGUAUGCAUUUUAUACCCGCCUCACUGUUGAUUGUUCUAUCUUCAUUUAUAUUAAAGCUUUUUUUUCAAGUUUGAUUAUAAUAGUGACACACUAAAUAUAAUUGUAUAGAGUGCUUGAAAUGCUCUGAGUGGACCCAAACACGUUUACCACAGCAUCUUUGCUUACAAUAGCAUGUUUGCAGGACUUAAAACUGUAACUCUACCGAGUUGUAAAUGAUAUUAUGUUUUCAUUUGCCUGUGAUUUUUCAGCCUUUAAAAAAAUAGGAACUUACAGAAACUGUUACAGAAAGGAAAUACAAGUUGCUUUACACAAAUCAAGAUUCCAUCAGUCACUAACGUCAUAUUAUGUAGACAAUAGAAUAUCCUGGUUGUUUUACAUCCCCUUGUUCCACUACUCUUGAUCUAUUUAUACCAAUUGCCUUUAAAACUUCUAAUCUCUUUAGGUAUAUUUUCUUUGUCAAAAUGUUAAAGAAUAUGCAUUCAACAUUUAUGAGAUAGUGUGAUUUUAUUUUAUUAUUUUAAAAAUAUAUAUUUAUUUAUUAUUUAUUUGUUUUGACUGCGCCGGCUCUUCGUUGGCGGACUUCUUAGUUGCCGCAUGCAUGGGGGGAUCUAGUUUUCUGACCGGAGAUCAAACCCAGGCCCCCUGCAUUGGGAGCCCUGAGUCUUACCCACUGGACCACCAGGGAAGUCCUGAUAGUGUGAUUUUAGACUGUUUUAAUCUGUGAUAACGUUUAUUCAUUUGGAUGUGAAUUAAAUCAUUUUAGGGUUGAUAAUUUUAGCCUUCCGAUUCCAUUCUUUGCCCCUGUUACCACUGUAAGUUAUUUGAAGGCAAAGAAUAAAUCUCUCCUUUAAAGUUAA